AUACUCUGACACUUGGGCUGCUGAGUGAGUCUAGACAGAAUUACCAAACAGUAUGCCAUAUACUAAUUUCAGGUUUUUAACCUCAACUGAGACCUCAAGACCAUCCUGCAGUUGUCAUGUUCCUGGUCAGUCUCUACUUUAGGAGCUGUACUCAUUCUCAGUCUAGCACUGGAACUGAUCCUGAUGUUUUUCCUACUAAAACUGAAAGGGAUCUGAUGAUUGAAAGCUCCCUGAAGAAAAGGAAGCUGUUUACCAGGUUCUCCAUUGAGUGA
rnacentral:lncRNA from 1 species